rnacentral:rRNA from 1 species
UACGGAGGGUGCAAGCGUUAUCCGGAUUUACUGGGUUUAAAGGGUGCGUAGGCGGAUCUUUAAGUCAGUGGUGAAAUCUCUCGGCUCAACCGAGAAACUGCCAUUGAUACUAUUGAUCUUGAAUACAGUUGAGGUGGGCGGAAUGUGUCGUGUAGCGGUGAAAUGCUUAGAUAUGACACAGAACACCGAUUGCGAAGGCAGCUCGCUAAACUGUGAUUGACGCUGAGGCACGAAAGCGUGGGGAUCAAACAGG